GGAAUCAGUGUCACAAUAGGUACUCUAACAACGGCACUGACCUUUCCAUAGUAAUUGGUAAGUGCUAUUUGUUGGAGUACAGGAGU
rnacentral:pre_miRNA from 1 species